GACGAACGCUGGCGGCGUGCUUAACACAUGCAAGUCGAACGGAAAGGCCCUGCUUUUGUGGGGUGCUCGAGUGGCGAACGGGUGAGUAACACGUGAGUAACCUGCCCUUGACUUUGGGAUAACUUCAGGAAACUGGGGCUAAUACCGGAUAUGAGCUCCUGCUGCAUGGUGGGGGUUGGAAAGUUUCGGCGGUUGGGGAUGGACUCGCGGCUUAUCAGCUUGUUGGUGGGGUAGUGGCUUACCAAGGCUUUGACGGGUAGCCGGCCUGAGAGGGUGACCGGCCACAUUGGGACUGAGAUACGGCCCAGACUGCUACGGGAGGCAGCAGUGGGGAAUAUUGCACAAUGGGCGGAAGCCUGAUGCAGCAACGCCGCGUGCGGGAUGACGGCCUUCGGGUUGUAAACCGCUUUCGCCUGUGACGAAGCGUGAGUGACGGUAAUGGGUAAAGAAGCACCGGCUAACUACGUG
rnacentral:rRNA from 1 species